rnacentral:rRNA from 1 species
AGUGAACGCUGGCGGUAGGCCUAACACAUGCAAGUCGAACGGCAGCACAGUAAGAGCUUGCUCUUACGGGUGGCGAGUGGCGGACGGGUGAGGAAUACAUCGGAAUCUACUUUUUCGUGGGGGAUAACGUAGGGAAACUUACGCUAAUACCGCAUACGACCUACGGGUGAAAGCAGGGGAUCUUCGGACCUUGCGCGAUUGAAUGAGCCGAUGUCGGAUUAGCUAGUUGGCGGGGUAAAGGCCCACCAAGGCGACGAUCCGUAGCUGGUCUGAGAGGAUGAACAGCCACCGGGGCAGUGAGAAGGGGCCCAGCCUCCUAGGGGGGGAGGCAGGGGGGAAUAUUGGACAAGGGGCGAAAGCCUGAUCCAGCCAUCCCGGGGGGGGAAAAAGGGCGUGGGGGUUGUAAAGCCUUUUUGGGGGGAAAAAAAAGCAGCGGGUUAAUACCCCGCUGUUCUGACGGAACCAAAAGAAAAAGCACCGGCUAACUUCGUG